AUUGAACGCUGGCGGCAUGCCUUACACAUGCAAGUCGAACGGUAACAGGUCUUCGGAUGCUGACGAGUGGCGAACGGGUGAGUAAUGCAUCGGAACGUGCCCAGUUGUGGGGGACAACUGCUCGAAAGAGCAGCUAAUACCGCAUACGACCUGAGGGUGAACGCGGGGGAUCGCAAGACCUCGCGCAAUUAGAGCGGCCGAUGGCAGAUUAGGUAGUUGGUGGGGUAAAGGCCUACCAAGCCGACGAUCUGUAGUUGGUCUGAGAGGACGACCAGCCACACUGGGACUGAGACACGGCCCAGACUCCUACGGGAGGCAGCAGUGGGGAAUUUUGGACAAUGGGCGCAAGCCUGAUCCAGCAAUGCCGCGUGCAGGAAGAAGGCCUUCGGGUUGUAAACUGCUUUUGUCAGGGAAGAAAUCCUCUGGGUUAAUACCCCGGGGGGAUGACGGUACCUGAAGAAUAAGCACCGGCUAACUACGUGCCAGCAGCCGCGGUAAAAC
rnacentral:rRNA from 1 species